CCUACGGGAGGCAGCAGUGAGGAAUAUUGGUCAAUGGGAGAGAUCCUGAACCAGCCACGCCGCGUGAGGGAAUACGGCCCUAUGGGUUGUAAACCUCUUUUGUCGGGGAGCAAAACCCGGGACGUGUCCCGGACUGCGCGUAUCCGAACAAGAAACAUCGGCUAACUCCGUGCCAGCAGCCGCGGUAAUACUGAGGACACGAGCGUUAUCCGGAUUUAUUGGGUUUAAAGGGUGCGUAGGCGGUCCGGUAAGUCAGCGGUAAAAUUAUGGGGCUCAACCCCGCCGAGCCGUUGAAGCUGGCAGACUGGAGUUGGCGAGAAGUACGCGGAAUGCGCGGUGUAGCGGUGAAAUGCGUAGAUAUCGGGCAGAACCCCGAUUGCGAAGGCAGCGUACCGGCGCCAGACUGACGCUGAGGCACGAAAGCGUGGGGAUAGAACAGGAUUAGAUACCCCAGUAGUC
rnacentral:rRNA from 1 species